ensembl:misc_RNA Metazoa_SRP Metazoan signal recognition particle RNA
GCCGGGCAUGGUGGCGUGAGCCUGUAAUCCCAGCUACUUGGGAGGCUGAGGCAGGAGGAUUGCUUGAGCCCAGGAGUUUGAGGCUGCAGUGAGCCAGGAUCACACCACAGCACUGCAGCCUGGGCAAGACAGCAAGACCCUGUUUCAA